AGGGAAUUUUCGUCAAUGGGGGGAACCCUGAACGAGCAAUGCCGCGUGAGUGAGGAAGGUCUUCGGAUCGUAAAGCUCUGUUGUAAGAGAAAAACGACAUUCAUAGGGAAUGAUGAGUGAGUGAUGGUAUCUUACCAGAAAGUCACGGCUAACUACGUGCCAGCAGCCGCGGUAAUACGUAGGUGGCGAGCGUUAUCCGGAAUGAUUGGGCGUAAAGGGUGCGUAGGUGGCAGAACAAGUCUGGAGUAAAAGGUAUGGGCUCAACCCGUACUGGCUCUGGAAACUGUUCAGCUAGAGAACAGAAGAGGACGGCGGAACUCCAUGUGUAGCGGUAAAAUGCGUAGAUAUAUGGAAGAACACCGGUGGCGAAGGCGGCCGUCUGGUCUGUUGCUGACACUGAAGCACGAAAGCGUGGGGAGCAAAUAGGAUUAGAUACCCUAGUAGUCCACGCCGUAAACGAUGAGAACUAGGUGUUGGGGGAAUAACUCAGUGCCGCAGUUAACGCAAUAAGUUCUCCGCCUGGGGAGUAUGCACGCAAGUGUGAAACUCAAAGGAAUUGACGGGGGCCCGCACAAGCGGUGGAGUAUGUGGUUUAAUUCGAAGCAACGCGAAGAACCUUACCAGGCCUUGACAUCCCUUGCAGAGGUAUAGAGAUAUAUCCGAGGUUAUCAAGGAGACAGGUGGUGCAUGGUUGUCGUCAGCUCGUGUCGUGAGAUGUUGGGUUAAGUCCCGCAACGAGCGCAACCCUUGUGAUAUGUUACUAACAUUGAGUUGAGGACUCAUAUCAGACUGCCGGUGAUAAACCGGAGGAAGGUGGGGAUGACGUCAAAUCAUCAUGCCCCUUAUGGCCUGGGCUACACACGUACUACAAUGGCGUCUACAAAGAGCGGCAAGCCUGUGAAGGCAAGCGAAUCUCAUAAAGGACGUCUCAGUUCGGAUUGAAGUCUGCAACCCGACUUCAUGAAGCUGGAAUCGCUAGUAAUCGCGAAUCAGCAUGUCGCGGUGAAUACGUUCUCG
rnacentral:rRNA from 1 species